rnacentral:rRNA from 1 species
GCCGCGUGCGGGAAGAAGGCCUUCGGGUCGUAAACCGCUGUCAGGAGGGAAGAAACUGUUAGGGUAUAAUACGCCCUUUCACUGACGGUACCUCCAAAGGAAGCACCGGCUAACUCCGUGCCAGCAGCCGCGGUAAUACGGAGGGUGCGAGCGUUAAUCGGAAUCACUGGGCGUAAAGCGCACGUAGGCGGCGCAUCAAGUCAGGCGUGAAAGCCCUCGGCUCAACCGGGGAAUUGCGUUUGAAACUGGUGUGCUGGAGUCUCGGAGAGGUUGGCGGAAUUCCAGGUGUAGGAGUGAAAUCCGUAGAUAUCUGGAGGAACACCGGUGGCGAAGGCGGCCAACUGGACGA